CUCUCUGCCCCUCGCCCCCAUCACCAGUGGGCAGCCCUGGGUUCGACGACCGAGCAGAGACUCAGGGUGGGGGUGGGGAGAUGUGGGUACAGUGAUGUCACAUAUACUCCAGUUCGGGGGCCUGGCUCUUGGAGAUGGGGGGCAGGAGCCCCCCCCCGCUAGCACCCGUCUCGCUCUCCUCGGCAGGAAUCAAAGCGGUUCGUUCAGUGGCAGUCCUCGAUAUGAUAGCGUGCCCCUCCUCGACCGGCACUCCCCGCCCCCCUCGUACUCACCCAGCAUGCAGGCAUCUUACGUCGGCGCCAGCCAAGAGGAACCGUGCCCCCGAUACCGAAUGGACUUCCUGACCUAGAAUCUGACCCACGGUCCCCACCCCUGACUAACACAUGGACCGGCUACCCCCCACGGCCGAGUGCUGCUGGGCCCGACAGAACCAAACGGGGGGAAGGAGAGAGACCGGGGCUGCCCCCCCCGGCCACCCGCUGCUGACUCAUCCCUCCGUCUAUCUGGGUUUGAUGCCAGGGGUCUGUGCCCCUGAGAAGGGAGGGUGGGAUGAAGGAGGAGGGUUUCCCCAUAAGAAUCCCAGGGGGGAGAAAAUGGUGAAAGCAGAAGGAUGAAUGGAGGAGUGGAAGAAUGAGCAUGAGAGAGCACAAAGGAUGAAUGGAGGAGUGGAAGUAUGAGCGUGAGAGAGCAGAAAGGAUGACCAGGAUGGAAGGAGCAUGAGAGUGAAAGGAAAGGAAAGAAGAAGUGAAAGAGUAGAGUGAAUGGAUGGGGGGAAGAAUGGAGAAAUUAAAAAGAAUGAAUGAAUAAAUGAAUGAAUGAAUGAGCA
rnacentral:lncRNA from 1 species